AGUGAACGCUGGCAGAAGGCUUAACACAUGCAAGUCGAACGGCAGCAGGGUAUUUGCCUGAGGUUAGGGGGGCGGACGGGUGAGUGACGCGUAAAGAAAUUGCAACCCAGCUAGGGACGGCAGUUGAAAAAGGAUGAUAAACCCUAAUAUUAUGAUAAUCGGGCAUCCGAAAGUUAUGAAAGCUAUAAGCGCUGUGGGAGAGCUUAGCGUCCCAUUAGCUAGUUGGAGAGGUACAGGCUCACCAAGGCGACGAACGGUAGCCGGUCUGAGAGGGUGAUCAGCCACACUGGAACUGAGACACGCUCCAGGGUCCUACGGGCGCCAGCCGUGCGCAAUCUUGGACCAUGGGCGCGAACCUGUUCCAACCGUACCGAGUGUGUGAUCCAGCCCUUCUGGUUGCAAAGCCAUUUUGUUGGGAAAGAAAAGCAGUUGGUUUAUGCCACACUGUACUGACGGUACCCAAAGAAGAAGCACCGGCUAACUUCGUG
rnacentral:rRNA from 1 species